UAGCAGUCAAGAGUUCCAGGCUUGAAGAAUAAAUAAAUACAAAAUGCACCCAUUUUUCCACAGGCUAUUCCUAAAGAAUUGGACCAAUGGAUUCAUUCAGGCAGCAAGUUAAUCCAUCAUGUAAGGAAAAUGAAUUGAUUUCAUCCACAAGAACAUGAAGUGAUGGAAAUGAUUUGCAGCUGCUCAGUAUUCCUUGUACAGUCUACCUUAAUUUGAAAAGCUGUUUAUGAAAUAAAAUUUCUUCAUAAAAAAUGA